UUGGCCUGAUUAUCAUGUAUCUUG
rnacentral:piRNA from 1 species